CGUUCGUGACCCGCUCCCAUUAACAAUGAGGUUCACGCUUUGUGUAACAAGGUUUUCGCGAAUGCAGUGCUCAAUUUCUUUCUUCGCUCCAGAACGGACGUCCUCUAUGUUAUCUGUCUGGCCAUGUCACCAUGCAGUAUUCUUGUCUUUGCUAUAAUAACUCAUGCCUUUGCUGUAGCGUAAGUUUCCCUUUUAUGUCACUCUUGCUUUUAGGUUCCGAUGUUUUGUAUAGUGAAAAUUCUGACUGAAGAAUGCGGUGGCAAGUGUACCUCAAAGGGACAUCCAUGGCUAUAUACAGAGCUUGACACACACCCUAUUGCGCCACAUUCCAACGAUUCAUCUCUUUUGCGUAAGAUAUGCAGUGGAUCGUGCACUCGCUACCCGGAUGGAACUCACGUCGGCUGUCGUGUGGCACACUGCCAGUGUGUCGUUGACUCAAGAUUUCUCACAGUCAGGGCAGAAGGCUACUGCUAUCCUUUACGAUUUCGCAGACUGGGUAAAUAAACAUAAAAGCGAAUAAAACACUAAUUGUCUUAGAAUUUACGAAGCCAGUUCUCACUGUUCCUGUCUCAUGUAGGACCUAUGACAAGUUAGCAUUUCGUUUAUUUUGUUAGACCCUGAUGUGCCUGUUUAUUUAAUGAAAUAAAUUAAAA